GACGAACCGUGCGAACGUUAUUCGGAAUCACUGGGCCUAAAGGGCGCGUAGGCGGGUCAUCAAGUCAGGGGUGAAAUACUCCGGCCUAACCGGAGAACGGCUUCUGAUACUGGUGACCUCGAGGGGUGUAGGGGCAUGUGGAACUUCCGGUGGAGCGGUGAAAUGCGUAGAUAUCGGAAGGAACGCCGGUGGCGAAAGCGACGUGCUGGACACCUUCUGACGCUGAGGCGCGAAAGCCAGGGGAGCAAACAGG
rnacentral:rRNA from 1 species